GUCGAGCGAGAAGCUGAUGACAGAUACUUCGGUUGAAGGAGUCAGUGGAAUGCGGCGGACGGGUGAGUAACGCGUAGGCAACCUGCCCUUUGCACAGGGAUAGCCAUUGGAAACGAUGAUUAAAACCUGAUAACACCAUUUGGUUACAUGAGCAGAUGGUCAAAGAUUUAUCGGCAAAGGAUGGGCCUGCGUCUGAUUAGCUAGUUGGUAAGGUAACGGCUUACCAAGGCGACGAUCAGUAGCCGACCUGAGAGGGUGAACGGCCACAUUGGAACUGAGACACGGUCCAAACUCCUACGGGAGGCAGCAGUGGGGAAUAUUGCACAAUGGGCGAAAGCCUGAUGCAGCAACGCCGCGUGAAGGAAGAAGGCCUUCGGGUCGUAAACUUCUGUCCUUGGGGAAGAAGAACUGACGGUACCCAAGGAGGAAGCCCCGGCUAACUACGUGCCAGCAGCCGCGGUAAUACGUAGGGGGCAAGCGUUAUCCGGAAUUAUUGGGCGUAAAGAGUACGUAGGUGGCAACCUAAGCGCAGGGUUUAAGGCAAUGGCUCAACCAUUGUUCGCCCUGCGAACUGGGAUGCUUGAGUGCAGGAGAGGAAAGCGGAAUUCCUAGUGUAGCGGUGAAAUGCGUAGAUAUUAGGAGGAACACCAGUGGCGAAGGCGGCUUUCUGGACUGUAACUGACACUGAGGUACGAAAGCGUGGGGAGCAAACAGGAUUAGAUACCCUGGUAGUCCACGCCGUAAACGAUGAGCACUAGGUGUCGGGGUCGCAAGACUUCGGUGCCGUAGUUAACGCAUUAAGUGCU
rnacentral:rRNA from 1 species